ensembl:lncRNA
AUAUGAUAUUAGGGGAGACCAAUGGAUUAAUAUAGGUACCACAUUAGGCCUCUUGCAGUUUGAUUCUAACUUUUUUUGCCUCUCUGCUCGUGUUUAUCCUUCCUGCCUUGAACCUGGUCAGAGUUUUCUCACUGAAGAAGAAGAAAUACCAAGUGAGUCUAGCACUGAAUGGGACUUAGGUGGAUUCAGUGAGCCAGACUCUGAGUCAGGAAGUUCAAGUUCUCUUUCUGAUGAUGAUUUUUGGGUGCGUGUAGCGCCUCAGUGAAAUGCACAGGAUAAGCAGGGUUUGUUGUAACUGAAUUGAAACACUAAGUUGUUUUUACUGUUUUGGAAAAUAUCUUAAAUAUCCUUUUUGUUCCUAAAGGAAAGGAAAAGUUGAUUAGCUGCUGGUUUGGUUUAGAAAAAGUAAUAUUUGAAAUACGAAGGUAAUUUAAUAUUACAAAUGUUAACACUCAGAUCAACCUUUUAAUAAUUUUCUGUGCUAAGGGUCCAGUAUUUAUUUGAUUAUUUAGUAUGUUUAUGUUUCAUGACACUAAUUUAGUCUUUUGAUAAAUUUUACAUUCUGUUUACUGCCACAAGCACUGUGGCAGUAACUUUUGAAUUUUAAUGUUUAUGAUAGAAAAAUGAUUAGGAAUUGCUAGAUAGUGUUUUGAAAGCUUAUCUUUUUCUUCGGAACAAUGUAGAUUUCCAAAAUGGUUAACCUAAGGGGUCUUUGCAAAAUGUGUUAUAAGUUAAACAUAAUUUGGGAAGUUUUACUUUUGUUUUCUUCUAUGAAGAAAAAAAUGCAGGCCGGGCGUGGUGGCUCACGUCUGUAAUCCCAGCACUUUGGGAGGCCGAGGCAGGUGGAUCACCUGAGGUCACGAGUUCAAAACCAGCCUGGCCAACAUGGUGAAACCCCAUCUCUACUAAACAUACAAAAAUUAGCUGGGCCUGGUGUCGUGUGCCUGUAAUCCCAGCUACCCAGGAGGCCAAGACUCCGUGUCAAAAAAAAGUAUAUGUGUGUUAGGGUGACUGAAUGAUGAUUUCAUUUAUAAUAAUACAGAGAAUAGCUAUAAGCUCAUUGACAGUAAAAACAACAAACCAGGAUUCUGCUGUUUGAAAAGAAGUUUCGUUUUAAUUUUGGAAUUUAGGAUGCAGAUUUGCAAAGCGACCAAUUUUCAUCUAAAAAAUUAUAUUCUGGUUGUGUCACCAAAUCAUCAAAAAACUUUAAAAAAGAAGUAACUUGCUUUGUAGAUUUGUAUUGUUGAUCUAAACCUGAUACAUGCUUCAUUUAAUCAGAGGAAUAAUCCUUUUUUCGCUGGACAUGUAUAAAUUUCACUGGAUUGUAUAAAUUUUUAUCUAUUGCCUUAAAAAUGUAUGUGAUUCUCAAUAUGUUUUAGCUGCACAGUUUUGGUGUUCAUCUUAGAGGAUUCUUCAGCAGAAGUGAUAUUUCUUUACUGUUUUGUGAGGUAAUACUGAUUUUGAAAAUAUAUAUAAGCUAAAAACAGAAUUUCGUUGAUAUCAGUAGUCAUUGUGUUAACUAUAAAGUCAAGUGCCAGCAAAGAACUUUAAAACUAUAAAGCUGUGUAUAGAACUGUUUUGUGUAGCAUGGAAAUACUCUGUCAGCUUUUUAAAGUCACUAAAUGUUCUUGAUUAUCAGCUUGAAGGUAUUUUUGUAUUACAAGUUGACAGUUGCUGGGUGUAGUGGCUCAUGCCUGUAAUCCUAGCAACUCAGGGGGCUGAGAUGGCAGGAUUGCUUCAGCCCAGGAGUUUGAGAGCAGCCUGGGCAACAUAGCAAAACCCCAUCUCUACAAAAAUAAAAAAUUUGUCUGGGAAUGGUGGUCCAAGUCUGUAGUCCCAGCUGUUUGGGAGGAUCACUUGAAUGUAGGAUCACUUGAGUCUGGGAGUUCGGGGCUGCAGCUAUGAUCACAUCUCUGCACUCCAGCUUUGGCAACAGAGCAAGAUCCCAUCUCUUAGAAAAACAAAGUUGAUAGUUAAAGAACAUAAGUGGAUGAUGGCAUUUGAGGCCACUGGUGAAAGUAUGUUUUCUCUAAAAUAUUUCUCUAAUAGUGAUAUAAAUGGCUAUUUUAUUAUGAUGUUUGUAUGUGUUUUGUAUUUCUCUGUAAACCGUGCUCCAGUCUUUGUUUUUCUGUUACCAUAAUGUAAGAGAAAGUCCAGGAACAGAGACUACAUCCCACGAAACUGACAUUGUUAAACACACUAAAACAAAAGUACUUACCUCUUGAAGAUUUAAUAUAUAAUGCUUGACAUGAUACAUGUACAUGAUAAAUGACCAGAUGCUUAUGGUCUACAUUUUCCUUUAUUCUGUUAGUAUUACCUUCCUUAAUCUUUGUUCAUUAACACGCUAAUUCCUCUUCAGUGUUUACUUUCUAGUGACAGAAUGUUAAUAUUUGUUACACCCUGGCAGAAGGGAGAGAAAUGUGUUUGGGGUGGGUAACUAAAUUUUUGAGUGAAAUAUCCUAAGAUGAGAAUGGAAGAGGGAGACACAAAAAGAGUUAUAACAAAAAACAAUAGUUUUUUUUAGCCAUUGACUGGCUCUUUAAAUAGUCUACAAGACAUUCAUGUUUAACAUCACUUUUAGUGAAAUAAAAUGUGCCGUACUACUAUGUGCUUCAAAAGGGCAAAUGUGCUUUAGUGCCCUAAGGCUAAAUUUUGGUCAUUUGACAUCAGAGAUGUUAUAAGUAUUGAACUUAAUAUGCGCCUAUUUCUCAAUAGUGUUAUUUUUUGGCUAGCAUUUUCUUUACCAUUAUCUUGUUGAUAGCUUUUUGUUCUCUAAGGUUGAAACAUGACAGUGCUAAUCUCAAACAGAUUACCCAUCUGUAGAAUUAAGGAAAGCAAUUUAUGUAUGAAAGACAUUCUCCAAUUCGUCAUUCUCAACCUUUGAAUUAAAGCUUAGACUAAAUAGUAGUAUAUCGUGGGAAGGAUUUUGGUUUUGUGAUAUUUCUGUGAAUUAAGGAAUAGAUGUUAACCAUUAUUUUGUAGAAAAGUGAUUUGUAUGUGGUUAAUUAUAAAUAAAACUGGUACCAGAA